rnacentral:rRNA from 1 species
GACGAACGCUGGCGGCGUGCUUAACACAUGCAAGUCGAACGGAAAGGCCCUGCUUUUGUGGGGUGCUCGAGUGGCGAACGGGUGAGUAACACGUGAGUAACCUGCCCUUGACUUUGGGAUAACUUCAGGAAACUGGGGCUAAUACCGGAUAGGAGCUCCUGCUGCAUGGUGGGGGUCGGAAAGUUUCGGCGGUUGGGGAUGGACUCGCGGCUUAUCAGCUUGUUGGUGGGGUAGUGGCUUACCAAGGCUUUGACGGGUAGCCGGCCUGAGAGGGUGAACGGCCACAUUGGGACUGAGAUACGGCCCAGACUCCUACGGGAGGCAGCAGUGGGGAAUAUUGCACAAUGGGCGGAAGCCUGAUGCAGCAACGCCGCGUGCGGGAUGACGGCCUUCGGGUUGUAAACCGCUUUCGCCUGUGACGAAGCGUGAGUGACGGUAAUGGGUAAAGAAGCACCGGCUAACUACGUG